GGACUACUCGGGUAUCUAAUCCCGUUUGCUCCCCUAGCUUUCGCGCCUCAGCGUCAGUGUCGGUCCAGGAAGCCGCCUUCGCCACCGGUGUUCCUCCGGAUAUCUACGCAUUUCACCGCUACACCCGGAAUUCCACUUCCCUCUCCCGAACUCAAGUCCGCCAGUUUCCCGUGCAGUUCCUCAGUUGAGCCGAGGUAUUUCACACGGGACUUAGCAGACCGCCUACGCGCCCUUUACGCCCAGUAAUUCCGAACAACGCUUGCUCCCUCUGUAUUACCGCGGCUGCUGGCAC
rnacentral:rRNA from 1 species